UGUUAGUCAUUUACAAGCCUUGUCGAUAAACAAAACUUUGACGAUUAACAUGUCAAGUUGCUAGAAGUUUGUAAACUUCUAUUUAAUAAAUUCUUGGAUUUAGGAUUGUAUGAAAUUGGAGAUAAAAGUUGGACUAAAAUUCAAUGGAAACAAUUAAGAAUUUUUAUUAGACCUUAAAAAGGUCUACUUAGUUAGUUUUACGUCGAGGGUAGACGCGGUUAAAUUAUAGCGAAUUAAGUGUGCGUUUUAUCUUAAGUCUAUAAAGUCUAUCGAGUUAGAGUCUUAUUUAAGUUAAUUUACAUCUUAUUUAGAUCCGGCAAGGAACGCAGCUAACGGACAAGGAGCACCUUAAGCUAGACGGCAGUUAAUCGAUCGAGGUUUUAGGAGUAGCAAGCGUCUUUCCUUUCAGGUAAAUUUUUUUGACGUGACGGGCUUCUAUCCUUGUUCAGAAGUCCGUAUUUUGGAAGUAUGUAAAUAAGAAGACGUCGAUCGAUAGAGCUGCAGUAGAUGUCAAGUCCUAGUUAUUAAUAUGGCUUAGUUAAACGGUUUUAAUGUUUUAUCCAAACUCUGAUAUGUAAAUAAAGUUCUAAACUGCGGUUUUAACCGUUUACUAUAUUUUGCAAACCGGGCUAUGCUUGAUGUGUGAUAUCGCAUGAUAAGACCCUGGCUUAUCGUACAUCGCUUCGGACGAUGUUACAAGUAUUGUAAAUAUUUCAAGUUUAUGAAAAUGUUUUAUGAA